UGCGUAGGCGGAAUGAUAAGUCAGUGGUGAAAGCCUGCAGCUUAACUGCAGAACUGCCAUUGAUACUGUCAAUCUUGAGUACAUUUGAUGUGGGCGGAAUGUGUCAUGUAGCGGUGAAAUGCUUAGAUAUGACACAGAACACCGAUUGCGAAGGCAGCUCACAAAACUGUAACUGACGCUGAGGCACGAAAGCGUGGGUAUCAAACAGGAUUAGAUACCCUGGUAGUCCACGCUGUAAACUAUGAUUACUCGAUGUUUGCGAUACACUGUAAGCGUCUAAGCGAAAGCGAUAAGUAAUCCACCUGGGGAGUACGCUCGCAAGAGUGAA
rnacentral:rRNA from 1 species